rnacentral:rRNA from 1 species
AGACAACUAGGAUGUUGGCUUAGAAGCAGCCAUUCAUUAAAAGAGUGCGUAAUAGCUCACUAGUCGAGAGAUCUUGCGCCGAAAAUGUAACGGGGCUAAACUUACCACCGAAGCUACGGGCUUGAACUUAUGUUCAAGCGGUAGGAGAGCGUCGUAACCGGGCUGAAGUCGUACCGUAAGGAGCGGUGGACUGGUUACGAGUGAGAAUGUUGGCAUCAGUAGCGAGAUGUGGGUGAGAAUCCCACAGGCCGAAAACCUAAGGUUUCCUCAGGAAGGUUCGUCCGCUGAGGGUUAGUCGGGACCUAAGCCGAGGCCGAAAGGCGUAGGUGAUGGACAACUGGUUGAUAUUCCAGUACCACUACCAUCGUUAUUAUCGAUGGCGUGACGCAGGAGGAUAGUGUGUGCUAGCUAUUGGAUGCUAGUCUAAGCGUUUAGGCAGUGAGAGUAGGCAAAUCCGCUCUCAUAAUGCUGAGGCGUGAUGGGGAAGGUUCUACGGAACCGAAGUACAUGAUUCCACGCUGCCAAGAAAAGCGUCUAGAGAGAGAAGUAGUGCCCGUACCGCAAACCGACACAGGUAGGUGAGGAGAGAAUCCUAAGGCCGGCGGAAGAAUUACAGUUAAGGAACUCGGCAAAUUGACCCCGUAAGUUCGCGAGAAGGGGUGCCUACGAGAGUAGGCCGCAGAGAAUAGGCCCAAGCAACUGUUUAGCAAAAACACAGGUCUCUGCUAAAGCGUAAGCUGAUGUAUAGGGGCUGACGCCUGCCCGGUGCUGGAAGGUUAAGGGGAACACUUAGCGCAAGCGAAGGUGUGAACUUAAGCCCCAGUAAACGGCGGCCGUAACUAUAACGGUCCUAAGGUAGCGAAAUUCCUUGUCAGGUAAGUUCUGACCCGCACGAAUGGCGUAAUGACUUGGGCACUGUCUCAACUGUAAAUCCGGCGAAGUUGUAGUGCGAGUGAAGAUGCUCGCUACCCGCGAUUGGACGGAAAGACCCCGUAGAGCUUUACUGUAGCUUAGCAUUGAGUUUUGGUAUUGUCUGUACAGGAUAGGUGGGAGACUAGGAAACCAGGGCGUCAGCCUUGGUGGAGUCAACCUUGGGAUACCACCCUGACAGUACUGAAAUUCUAACUGGCGGCCAUGAAUCUGGUCACAGGACAUUGUUAGGUGGGCAGUUUGACUGGGGCGGUCGCCUCCUAAAAAGUAACGGAGGCGCCCAAAGGUUCCCUCAGAACGGUCGGAAAUCGUUCGAAGAGUGCAAAGGCAGAAGGGAGCCUGACUGCGACACCCACAAGUGGAGCAGGGACGAAAGUCGGGCUUAGUGAUCCGGUGGUACCUCGUGGGAGGGCCAUCGCUCAACGGAUAAAAGCUACCUCGGGGAUAACAGGCUGAUCUCCCCCAAGAGUCCACAUCGACGGGGAGGUUUGGCACCUCGAUGUCGGCUCG